GGAGUAUGGGCCGUGUCUCAGUCCCAUUGUGGCUGAUCAUCCUCUCAAACCAGCUACUGAUCGUAGUCUUGGUGGUCCAUUACACCGCCAACAAACUAAUCAGAUGCAGGCUCAUCCUAGAGCACCGGAGUUUUCAAGAAUACCAUUUCAGGUACGCUCAUAUGGGGUAUUAGCAGAAGUUUCCCUCUGUUGUCCCCCUCUCUAGGGCAGAUUUCCUACAUAUUACUCACCCGUCCGCCACUUUCCUCUGGUGCAAGUACCAGAUUCUCGUUCGACUUGCAUGUAUGAAGCACGCCGCCAGCGUUCGUC
rnacentral:rRNA from 1 species